CAGAAGGUGCCCCGGGGGCGCGCGCCGGUCCAAGUCCCUUGGAACGGGGCGUCACGGAGGGUGAGAAUCCCGUACGCGGCCGGGGCGGCGCGUCCCCGCGCGGGGCCCUUUCGACGAGUCGAGUUGUUUGGGAAUGCAGCUCCAAAUGGGUGGUAAAUUCCAUCUAAAGCUAAAUACCCGCCAGAGACCGAUAGCGCACAAGUAGCGUGAGCGAAAGAUGAAAAGCACUUUGGAAAGAGAGUUCAACAGCACGUGAAAUUGUGGAAAGGGAAGCGCUUGCGGCCAGACUCGGCCGCGCGCGACCACCCGCCCCCCGGGGCGGGGCACGCGCGCGCGGCCGGGCCCGCAUCGGUUCGGGCGGCUGGACAAAGGCCCACGGCAUGUGGCCCCCCUCGGGGGGUGUUAGAGCCGGGGUGCAAUGCAGCCCGCCGGGACCGAGGCACGCGCUCCGGCACGGAUGCGGGCGUAAUGGCCGCCAGCGACCCGUCUUGAAACACGGACCAAGGAGUCGACCAGUCCCGCGAGUGUUUGGGCGUCGAAACCCACGCGCGCAAUGAAAGUGAACGGAGGCGAGAGCCCCCCCGGGGGUGCACCGUCGUCCGAUCCUGAAGUUUACGGAUGGAUUUGAGAAGGAGCGUGGCCGGUCGGACCCGAAAGAUGGUGAACUAAACGCAGCUAGGAGGAAGUCGAGAGAAAUCUCGAUGGAUGUCCGCAGCGGUUCUGACGUGCAAAUCGAUCGUCAAAGCUACGUUUAGGGGCGAAAGUGAGGCUCCCCCCGGCGGGUCCCCCCUGGGCGAGCAAAGGUGCUGACUGGGAUGCAGGACUAAUCGAACCAUCUGGUAGCUGGUUCCUGUCGAAGUUUCCCUCAGGAUAGCAGUCGCGCGUGGAGUCGCAUCCGGUAGAGCAACGAUUGGGCGUUUGGGGGACUUAGAUGUCCUUCGCGCACUCUC
rnacentral:rRNA from 1 species